GUAGACUCGGCCAUUUCUCUCGCGAAGCGUACCAACUCGUUCGGCCGCGACAUUUUUUUCCGACAAACCGUGCGGGUAUUCCCGGAAACUUUGCAAAAUAACGCGACGCAAAAGGAUGAUACACUCCGGGCGCACCAGGCUCGAGAAAAAAGUAAGUCGCGUGGGCGUAGGAGGAGGGGGCCAGGUCGGGCAAGGGGUACAAGCGGUCGAGGAAUCCGGUGCAAGCGGUCAAUGGUGGAGGCAACAGCAUCCAUCCUAUCAUCAUCAUCACCAUCAUCAUCAUCAUCACCAACAUCAUCACCAUUAUCAUCAUCAGGCCGGUUAUUACACGUCGCAAUCGCAUACUCACAACAAUCCUGUCACUACCAUGAAGCAGUCUUACAUGCAGCUAACAUGGGUGUUUCAUGACGACGAGGCGCAGAUUAAUAAGAAACUGCCAAAAGAAUUGCUUCUUAGAAUCCUGUCGUAUCUCGACGUGGUGUCACUAUGCCGAUGCGCGCAAGUGAGCAAAGCCUGGAACGUGUUGGCGCUAGAUGGAUCCAAUUGGCAGAGAAUCGAUCUGUUCGAUUUCCAACGAGAUGUGGAGGGACCAGUUAUAGAAAAUAUCUCGAGACGAUGCGGCGGUUUCCUGAGACAGUUGUCCCUCAGGGGAUGCCAGAGCAUCGGGAACAAUUCCAUGCGCACGUUGGCUCAAUCGUGUCCAAACAUCGAGGAACUAAACCUGAGCCAGUGUAAAAAGAUCUCAGACGCCACCUGCGCGGCACUCAGCAGUCACUGUCCGAAACUCCAACGACUGAACUUGGACUCGUGUCCCGAAAUAACGGACAUUUCCCUGAAGGAUCUCUCGGAGGGUUGUCCCCUUCUCACUCACAUCAACCUGUCCUGGUGUGAGUUACUUACCGACAACGGAGUCGAAGCAUUGGCGAGAGGUUGCAACGAACUCCGUAGCUUUCUCUGCAAAGGCUGCCGUCAGUUGACGGACAGGGCUGUCAAAUGUCUGGCCCUUUACUGCCCCAAUUUGGAGGCGAUCAAUCUACACGAAUGCAGGAAUAUAACGGACGAUGCGGUUCGAGAACUCAGCGAACAGUGUCCACGAUUGCAUUACGUCUGUCUGUCGAAUUGUCCUAAUCUAACGGACGCGUCCCUGGUUACCCUGGCACAGCACUGUCCGCUCCUCAGCGUCCUCGAAUGCGUGGCUUGCACUCAUUUCACCGACGCGGGAUUUCAGGCCCUCGCGAAAAAUUGCAGACUGCUAGAAAAGAUGGACCUGGAAGAGUGCCUUUUAAUAACAGACGCCACGCUCAUUCACCUGGCCAUGGGAUGUCCAAGGUUGGAGAAAUUGAGUCUGUCGCACUGCGAACUGAUCACCGACGAGGGCAUCCGGCAAUUGGCUCUUUCGCCGUGUGCGGCCGAACAUCUGGCGGUGCUGGAAUUGGACAACUGCCCCCUCAUCACAGAUGCUAGUCUCGAUCACCUUCUACAGGCCUGCCACAAUCUCGAGCGCAUCGAGCUUUACGACUGUCAACUGAUCACCAGGGCUGGCAUACGUAGACUCAGAACUCAUUUGCCGAACAUCAAAGUCCACGCGUAUUUCGCGCCGGUAACACCUCCGCCAAGCGCAGGAGCAUCACGGCAACGAUAUUGCCGGUGCUGUGUCAUUCUGUGAUUCUGCAUACGCACGUGACUCUGAUGCAAAUCGUCCGAUGUACCACACUACCGGUGGACCUUUCAGUGAUCGCUGGUUGCGGCAAUCGUGGGACCUUCUGUUCCGAUAACCAGAAGACCAGACCCCGAGACUCUGGGUCGUCGACAACAGUGAGAACGAGCCUCAUCGUGAAUCGCGACUCCUUCGAUAACCAUUCGACUUACAACACGCAACGAGUGCAACAACAAAGAUAAGCGAUGCUCGUUACGUGCACGAUGUGUAAUCAUCAGCGAUACGCGCAAGGGAAUCAGCAGGUGUAGAUCAGAUUUAACUUAGGCAGACGGACAAAAAAUGGACAAUUUCGCCACUUUAUCCGCAACCGUGAUACGGUUCUCGACCUCGCAGGGUCUCACCGAGGAACCUGUUUCCGUUCUUUCGUCCACGUUCUUCCUUCAAAUUUUAUUUGCGCUCCCGAACCUAAUUUUAUUACAUGGCAAAUUGUAAUUCUAACUCGACAUUUUUCUCCUCGAUGUAAUUUUACCGAAGUAUUUUAACUAUAACAGGAUUGCGAACGUAGUACUCUUGCCAUGAGAUGCAACACGAAAAACGCAACGAAAUUAGGUUCGCGAUGUUCGGAGCGCAAUGUUCAUUGCAGGAUUGUCGGGUGUCUCGAUCGAGUUCGGCUCAAAAUAUGAAGUCAAUCGCAGUGCCUGAAUCGCCGCAAAAUUGUAAUAUAGUAGUCGAAAUUCCACGGGUAAUCACAGUGUGGCGGGGGAUGUUAGACAAACGAGAUGAAAACGAAAGAAACUAAACUUAUCCUAUCGAUCGCCUGACAAUCAUGCAUCACUUGUUCGGUACUAUUACCGAAUGAAAGUUACCCAAAAAUCGACGCAGUUGUCUUCAGAAUCUGAGUAUCGUUUAACCGCUUCGUUGAUCAAAUUUUAAAAGAACGAUUAGAUACUAAGUAUUCAGAUUUUGGAAGACGUGUUUAGAGUACUACAGUUCGAAAUUUUUCAAGGAAGAACGAAUAAAAUACUAAACGAUAGUAUUACAACAAUCAUCCUGUUAAGAUAAUUUGCAAUUCUAUUUGAUUUGUGGCACUCGAACGUCCAUCGCAAUUACUUAAUUCCUCGAUAUUGGACACCCGUCAAAAAUCGUCCGUGGCAAAGACAGAAAAAGCAAACUAUCCAGAAAAGAUCGGUAGUUUCUUAUUUUUCAUACUCGAUCGUGAAAAUGUUAUUUUAAUAAGACCGUUGGUGAUCGAUCACCGAGACGUGCCUGGCAGAUCUCGACGAUCGAUCAUGAACGAAUCGGUGAAUCGGCGUGAUCGGUUAGUACAACAAAAUUGUAAUGUCGAGUAUCGUGUAGAAUUGAGUCCCGUUACGUCGACAAAUUUACGAGACGCGAGAGCCUGUCGGGAAUCCCGUUGUUCGGGCAUAAAGGGAAUCACGACCGAGUUUUCGAAAACGGUGUAUGUACACUGGCGAGCACGGUACGCUUUCCUAGGGAAUGAUACGGGGGAAACUGACCCCGUUGCUUUUCGCUAGUAGAUCUGAUCUAGAAAUUUUUCAAUUCGGCUACGUGAAAAUUAGCCAACUUUUUCAUGGAAUAUUGGCAAUCAGAAUUUUUUGGAAAAUGCUCCCCUACGCUUGUCAGCCAAAGGAAGCCGUUGCACCGAAGUGUACAUAAUCGAGAGAUAACGAAUCAUGAAUCGUCGAUAAAUUGAUAGCGAAGCGUACAAAAUAGAAACAAGAAACAAUUGUACGACCGAUUGCAGUGUUGUGUAAGUCUGUUGUAAAGAACACGUCGUCGCGAAGAGGUGUCGUCGACGUUGAAAAUAAUGACGCGAAUAAGAGAUGGGAAGCUGAAGAGAAAAGCUUUGAAACCGAGUGAUCGAACAAGUGUUUGGCUGUGCAGUAGAAUAGGAAAGAGACAGAGAAAGAACGUUAGAGAGAAAGUGAGUUUAAAGAGAGAAAGAAUGAGAGAACGAGAGAGGGUGUGAGAGACAAAGAUUCAACAUGUUAAUCGAAGCCAGCGAAAGUAUAAUUACCAUGUGUCCCCAGUUAUAUGUGUUUUAUCCUGUGUACCCACGAAUCAUUUUUAUUCUCCUUUUCGGAAAAAUCGAAACAAAACGAGCGUAAUUCGGUAUAGUCGAAAUCCUUUAACAAAUGGUCUACGCGUGUCGGCCUACACGUGCCUCCCGGACAAAAAGAUUAAGAAACAGACACAGGUUCGCGUACGAAUACUGUAGCUGAUUAUACAUUGACAUUUUCGCUGCUUCGACAAGCUACAGUCUACCAUGUAUAUAUUUUCAUUAAUGUAUGUAUAAUAAAAAAAAAGUAUAUUCGAGA
rnacentral:misc_RNA from 1 species